rnacentral:lncRNA from 1 species
AAACAAAAUUCACAGUUAUAAUUUUAUUACAAACCUUAUUGGAAUUGCUAUUAAUGUUAGUAUAGGAAGUAAAAAACAGGGUGCUUACAGGAAAUAAUCAUGCAUAGAAACUUGAAUACAAAGAAUAACUCUUUUAGUGGCCUUCAUAUGAGGGGUGGUACGUAUAUUCAGCCUGCGUGCUGGGAUGAAUUGCUUCUGAGACCAGACUAGCAGUAUGGAAUUUGGCAAUGAAAAUAGAAGCUUUCGUGUCAAUAGCAGGGUCAGCAACCACCUCGUCUGUGUUAUCUUCAUCACUUGCGUACACCUUUUGUGUGUUGUCUUCAUCACUUGCAUACACCUUUUUUGGAGUAUAAUGAUCUUGAUCCCUACAAGUACCACCCUUCUGAUCUCUACGAGUACCACCCUUUUUACUUUCCCUCUUACCUUUGAAGAGACUGAAGCAAGAGAAGUAUUUCCUGUUCUUUUUCCCACCCAUAGCCAUUUAUCUUGUUUUUCUGCUCACUCGAAUACACUCACUAAAGGUUAGGAUGAGUUCUGCACUUGGCGCUGCA